UACGGAGGAUGCAAGCGUUAUCCGGAAUGAUUGGGCGUAAAGCGUCCGCAGGUGGCAAUGUAAGUCUGCUGUCAAAGCGUCUGGCUCAACCAGAUAAAGGCAGUGGAAACUACAUAGCUAGAGUAAGGUAGGGGUAGAGGGAAUUCCUGGUGUAGCGGUGAAAUGUGUAGAGAUCAGGAAGAACACCGGUGGCGAAAGCGCUCUGCUGGACCUUAACUGACACUGAGGGACGAAAGCUAGGGGAGCGAAUGGG
rnacentral:rRNA from 1 species